rnacentral:rRNA from 1 species
UACGUAGGGGGCAAGCGUUGUCCGGAUUUAUUGGGCGUAAAGAGCGUGUAGGCGGUUUGGUAGGUCCGCUGUGAAAACUCGAGGCUCAACCUCGAGACGCCGGUGGAAACCAUCAGGCUAGAGUCCGGAGGAGGAGAGUGGAAUUCCUGGUGUAGCGGUGAAAUGCGCAGAUAUCAGGAAGAACACCCGUGGCUAAGGCGGGUCUCUGGGCCGAUACUGACGCUGAGACGCGAAAGCGUGGGGAGCAAACAGG